rnacentral:tRNA from 1 species
GCCGGCGUAGCUUAAUUCAAAGCGCAACCCUGAAGAUGUUAAGAUGGUCCCUGAAAAGACCCGUGGGCA